GGUAUCGAACAGGAUUAGAUACCCUGGUAGUCCGCGCGGUAAACGAUGGAUGCCCGCUGUCAGCGAUAUACAGUCGGCGGCCAAGCGAAAGCGUUAAGCAUCCCACCUGGGGAGUACGCCGGCAACGGUGAAACUCAAAGGAAUUGACGGGGGCCCGCACAAGCGGAGGAACAUGUGGUUUAAUUCGAUGAUACGCGAGGAACCUUACCCGGGCUUGAAUUGCAGAGGAAAGAUCCAGAGAUGGUGAUGCCCUUCGGGGCCUCUGUGAAGGUGCUGCAUGGUUGUCGUCAGCUCGUGCCGUGAGGUGUCGGCUUAAGUGCCAUAACGAGCGCAACCCCUUUCCCUAGUUGCCAUCGGUUCUAGCCGGGCACUCUGGGGACACUGCCUCCGCAAGGAGUGAGGAAGGUGGGGAUGACGUCAAAUCAGCACGGCCCUUACGUCCGGGGCUACACACGUGUUACAAUGGGUGAUACAGAGGGCCGGCCGCUGGCAACAUCGGUCCAAUCCUUAAAGUCAUCCUCAGUUCGGACUGGGGUCUGCAACCCGACCCCACGAAGCUGGAUUCGCUAGUAAUCGC
rnacentral:rRNA from 1 species